rnacentral:misc_RNA from 1 species
GAUGAAGAACGCAGCGAAAUGCGAUAAGUAGUGUGAAUUGCAGAAUUCAGUGAAUCAUCGAAUCUUUGAACGCACAUUGCGCCCGCCAGUAUUCUGACGGGCAUGCCUGUUCGAGCGUCAUUUCAACCAUCAAGCCCCCGGCUUGUGUUGGGGACCUGCGGCUGCCGCAGGCCCUGAAAUCCAGUGGCGGGCUCGCCGUAGAACCGAGCGUAGUAGCACACUUCUCGCUCCGGUAGCAGCGGCGGGCGCUUGCCGUAAAACCCCCCCUAAAAUCUCAAGGUUGACCUCGGAUCAGGUAGGAAUACCCGCUGAACUUAAGCAUAUCAAUAAGCGGAGGA